rnacentral:rRNA from 1 species
GCAGUCGAACGCGUUGGCCCAAUUGAUUGAUGGUGCUUGCACCUGAUUGAUUUUGGUCGCCAACGAGUGGCGGACGGGUGAGUAACACGUAGGUAACCUGCCCAGAAGCGGGGGACAACAUUUGGAAACAGAUGCUAAUACCGCAUAACAGCGUUGUUCGCAUGAACAACGCUUAAAAGAUGGCUUCUCGCUAUCACUUCUGGAUGGACCUGCGGUGCAUUAGCUUGUUGGUGGGGUAACGGCCUACCAAGGCGAUGAUGCAUAGCCGAGUUGAGAGACUGAUCGGCCACAAUGGGACUGAGACACGGCCCAUACUCCUACGGGAGGCAGCAGUAGGGAAUCUUCCACAAUGGGCGCAAGCCUGAUGGAGCAACACCGCGUGAGUGAAGAAGGGUUUCGGCUCGUAAAGCUCUGUUGUUAAAGAAGAACACGUAUGAGAGUAACUGUUCAUACGUUGACGGUAUUUAACCAGAAAGUCACGGCUAACUACGUGCCAGCAGCCGCGGUAAUACGUAGGUGGCAAGCGUUAUCCGGAUUUAUUGGGCGUAAAGAGAGUGCAGGCGGUUUUCUAAGUCUGAUGUGAAAGCCUUCGGCUUAACCGGAGAAGUGCAUCGGAAACUGGAUAACUUGAGUGCAGAAGAGGGUAGUGGAACUCCAUGUGUAGCGGUGGAAUGCGUAGAUAUAUGGAAGAACACCAGUGGCGAAGGCGGCUACCUGGUCUGCAACUGACGCUGAGACUCGAAAGCAUGGGUAGCGAACAGGAUUAGAUACCCUGGUAGUCCAUGCCGUAAACGAUGAGUGCUAGGUGUUGGAGGGUUUCCGCCCUUCAGUGCCGGAGCUAACGCAUUAAGCACUCCGCCUGGGGAGUACGACCGCAAGGUUGAAACUCAAAGGAAUUGACGGGGGCCCGCACAAGCGGUGGAGCAUGUGGUUUAAUUCGAAGCUACGCGAAGAACCUUACCAGGUCUUGACAUCUUGCGCCAACCCUAGAGAUAGGGCGUUUCCUUCGGGAACGCAAUGACAGGUGGUGCAUGGUCGUCGUCAGCUCGUGUCGUGAGAUGUUGGGUUAAGUCCCGCAACGAGCGCAACCCUUGUUACUAGUUGCCAGCAUUAAGUUGGGCACUCUAGUGAGACUGCCGGUGACAAACCGGAGGAAGGUGGGGACGACGUCAGAUCAUCAUGCCCCUUAUGACCUGGGCUACACACGUGCUACAAUGGACGGUACAACGAGUCGCGAACUCGCGAGGGCAAGCAAAUCUCUUAAAACCGUUCUCAGUUCGGACUGCAGGCUGCAACUCGCCUGCACGAAGUCGGAAUCGCUAGUAAUCGCGGAUCAGCAUGCCGCGGUGAAUACGUUCCCGGGCCUUGUACACACCGCCCGUCACACCAUGAGAGUUUGUAACACCCAAAGUCGGUGGGGUAACCUUUUAGGAGCCAGCCG